GUCUACGGCUAUACCACCCUGAAAGUGCCUGAUCUCGUCUGAUCUUGGAAGCUAAGCAGGGUCAGGCCUGGUUAGUACUUGGAUGGGAGACCACCUGGGAAUACCGGGUGCUAUAGGCU
rnacentral:rRNA from 1 species